GUCUCUCCCAACGCCCAGUCCGCACUUACCAGUUGUGUCCCUUUCGCACCGGCUUCCAACUGGCUGGCUAACCCUUACAUGGGUCUUCCUCCAAGAAUGGGCAGCUCGGAAGUGCUACAUUCAGCAAAGGACAAGAGAGGUCCUCUCACCUCUGCAGGAGUCUACCGUAUACCGUGCUGAUGUGGACAAUCCACCAAACGCCGCAAUGCCCUAACACGAUUCAAUGAACAUGAAAGGCACUGCAGGCUAACUCAACCAGAGAAGUCAACCAUAGCAGAGCACUCAGUGAACCCACCUGGACACAGCAUAUUAUUUGAGAACACAAAAGUGCUCGCCCUCUCUGACAACCACUAUGUCAGACUACACCGAGAGGCCACUGAAAUCCACAAGCAUGUGGACAAUUUCAACAGAAAGAAGGAAACCACGAAAAUGGCCGAAGUCUAGCUACCAGUAUUAAAAACAAACUCUAAAAUCAGGACAGUACAUAAAGAACAACACUCAAAAACAGGGGAAUUCCAGGCUUGAAACAAUCAGGGCCAGCUAAGACAAAGGAUUCCCUCAGGCAGGAAUCAGCCAGGCUUUGAAGCUACAAGGCCAUUACAUGCUAAUCAAGAUUUUCUCACACAUUAUGAAAACUAGGUGUGGGAAAAGAUGUUACAUAACAAUUUAUGAGGCAUCAAAUGCACUGAAAUUCUUAAUCCUGGAUCAUCAGUGAGCAGGCAAUUCUGGCAAGCAUCCUACAACUCUACAAUAAGGGUGAUCCUAAGGAGCUAAACCUGAGUGCGGCGUUUCCCAUUAAAAUGCAUAGAUGUAAUGCCUACAGCAUGAUUUUCCAUUUCAGGAUUGGCCUUUUCACUUACCAGAAGAAAUGUCAUUCAAAUACAUAGCAAUCUAAAGAGAUGUUGCAAGUCUGUGAUCUUAGGAGCAAUGGUAAUUUCCAUAUGAAUUAAUUUGCAGCAUUGAUCAUUUCCAUAUUAAUUAAUUCACCCAUUAUGAGGCAUGCUGGCACUAUCAGGUUCCUACCUUUCUCCAGGUAUAGCUGCUAAGUGUUCUUUAUAUGUUUUAACACAAACAAGCAAUGUAUGGGAAGCAUCAGAAAUGUGUAUAUGUGCCUUCAGGUAACCCAUAAACAUACAGUGAUACCACAAAUUUAACAUGGUUCUCUUAGGCAAGGAAUCCUCAGAAGUGGUUUUACCAGUUUCUUCUUCUGAAAUAUCACCUACACCACCUGUGAUUUGCUGGCGGCCUCCCAUCCAAGUACUAACAAGGGCUGUUCCUGUUUAGCUUCCAAGAUCAGACAGGAUCUGGUGCCUUUAGGUUAUGUAAGCUAAACUGACUAGUUAUUCUUCACUUUGGAGGUGCCAGAAUGGAGAAUGCUUCACCUGCUAAUUUCUGGUGCGUGUGCAUGUAUCCGUUUAUUCAAACAACAUCGCAUCAAUUAGAAGGUUAUGACACUAUUCCUAGGAUAUCAUAUGUCAUACCAGAGCUUGGAAAUUUUGCACUUUUGGACUACAACGUUUUGAGAAAAGUGUCUGUUCUUUCUUAGAUGUGGCCAGUUAUGUUUUGACUAGUCUGUGGAGCAGAUUUUUAAACUUUGACCCAAGUUAAGUACGUAAUCUCCGCUAUUCUAGUUAUAGAUGAACCACCACAACAUUUUAUUUGGUAGGAGACAAAUAAGUCACCUAUACAGCUCCCCGGUACAAUUAAUUGGGACUUUGCAUUUAAUUAAAACAUUUCAUGAGUGACCCUACUAUAAAGGUCAAUUUCUAUCUCACUUUGGUUGGAGUGGGAAGGGAUGGGUAUAUUGUUUUUGUGUGCUGGGGAAAGCAUUUAAUUUUGUUGUAAAAUGUACAAUGACAAUAAAGUUAUUAUUUGGUCUA